rnacentral:lncRNA from 1 species
UCUCCCAAUUGCUGAGAUCGAGAAGCCGAAGCCGGAGCUGCAGUGGCCGUCUGUCCUUUCUCUUUCCACGGGCCUCCCCUUCUCAGCCCCUCUCUUCGACCGUCGAGGCUGUGACGGCCAUCGCUCUCAUCGACGGCACUUCUGAGGCAAUCACGGCUAUUAAGAAGCAAGAGAAGCAAAUUAACGAUUUUAGACAACAUUGGUAGGAUUAUAAGACCUUCAAGUCAUGUUGAGGCUUUUAGUAAAUUUAUUGGGCAGCCGGUGUCAAUGUUCUGCUCAAGUCGAACUGUAAGUUUAUGUUUUGUGUACCAAUGAUUUUAUUGGAUUGUAAAUUUAAACUACCUUUCUACUUCUUGUUUUAUAAUCAGCAGAAGAUUACAACUUUUCUUUUUCUUUGGUUUAUCACCUAGAAAUUAGUCUGCUGCAGAUCCCUAAGAAAUAAGGGAAAAGAAAACUUGCAUCUGUGCAGUCAGAAAUUUUCCUCCUCAAAUGU